CAAAUUAUUUUCAUUGUGAAUGGUGAUGAGGGAAAUCUCUAGCAUAUAUAAGUAUCUCAAAAAUGCACUGAUGGCACCUUCUGAUGUGGCAUAAUUCUAACUUCAGAAUCCUUAUAAGCUUUUAUCGGUAGAAACAGUUUAAAAAAAAAAUCUGGCACAGGAUAUGUCUUUUUUCACAAAGUGAGAGAGUAGAACAAGUACUACUCUACUUUUCUUUUUCUCUACUCUUAAGCCAGAAUCAAUGAACUGACAAGGAACACUUGGCUUAAGGAUUUGGGAAAUAGCAGAUUUAGGAAAUGAGGAAUUCUUAUAAAAUCCAUGCUUGAAAAGAAGUUUAAUUUAGAAUAAAUUGUGGAAAAAGUACAGCCCAAUCUGAAGAAAAAAGGAUGGAGGAAGAUUUGAAAGAGGAACUUCUAACCUUAUUGACUUCUUGGCUUUGAGUUUAAAUGUCAUUAGUCAAAAGACAGAGCCCUGGGGACAUUAGCCAGGAAACACAUAAAUGAGCUCAAGGAGAAAACAUGUGUUGGGGCAUGGGGAAAAUAAGGUGAUACCAAGUGGAGGUGAUACCAAGGAGAGAGGACAAGUCAUGAAAAGUCAGGGCAGUAAUAGUCUGAUUAUGUUUAAAGUGGUGUGUACAUCAGGACACUGAAAAAGAUAAGGAAACCUUUAGGGCCAAAGUGGAACAGAACUAUAGAACCAAACAGCAUAAGGGACUCACAGGUAAGAAUCAUAACAUCAUUAAAAAGAUCUAUCAUGUGUACUUUAAAGAGGAAUUUCUUUUGAGAGCUCUUCCCUUCCAUAGUUAUUCUACAAUUAAAGAGUCUAAGGUAAAUAGACUUCCUCUGGUCUUCAUUUUUGGUUUACUUCACACUAGUAGAUUACAAAAUCUUGUGGUUUAGCCAAUGCCCAGGGAUACACUUAGAUGAUCAAUAAAUACCUGCCAUUUGACAUCUGGGUUACGGCAAAAGUUUCAUAAUAGAGUUAAAAUUUCCUUUCUAACAUAGUUUAAAAGGCUUCUUUAUUUCAAGAGGGUAGAAAAUAUUAAGAAAAAACCCCUGAAUUGAAAAAAAGGGGACAGUUUUUCCAGUUAAGGAAGAACUAAAUAUUAGCCGAGAACUCAAAGAUUUCAGAAGUCAGUCCUGCUCUAUUUGACUCUGUCUUUGUAAAGAGUGCUCUGUAUAUUCUCAGAGACAGAAAGGAAAGAUUAUCUGUCAUGUAGGAUACAAAUCAUGCCUACUCAGGAAUGCUGUCUUAAUAGUAAAUCAGUAGAAAUUAUUGCCUAGAAGAAGAUAUUAUUCAUUUUCAACAAGCUAUCAUUUGCAGGUGAGAACAUAUUUAUCUUAUUAAUAUGUACAGUACAAGUGUAAUUCACCUUACCAAAGUGUUUAUGUUCAGCCCUAGACAAAAUGGGUAUCUUCAUAGUUCCCUCUUUCUGUUUGAACAACCGCUUUUAAGACUUUUUCACUCUUCAGGUCACCCAACCCAUCCAUCCUCUGUUCUAAAUAAAUUUGAGUUUGCAUUUCCACACCCAGUCCUCACUUCAAGUCUAAUACACUGGCUUGUUUGUACCUAAAUACAUAAAACUCAAUCUAUCUUUUCACAUGUCAACCCACUAAAGUUUAUGUCUCCUGUGUCCUUGGUUGGAAGGAAAUCCCAGGUUAUGAUGAAUAGAUCCAGGCUAAGCUGUUAAGACCUGAUAAUGGAAGCUAGUGCCACUCCUCUUAAUAUUUUGAUCAGGGGAUUAUUCCUUGACUGCAAGGUGGAAUUAGGGUUAUCUGUGGCAAACUAGUGCAGGAAACUUUUUGUUGCAGAAAUUUAGGAAAAGACCAUCUUUCACAAGGAGGCUGUGCAGAAUGCUGCUCAUCUAUUUCAAAGGGAUUCAUUUUUAAAAAGAGUAAAAGAAGGCAGUGGCAAUUGUAUUUCAAAUGUAAAGUUGUAUUCUAUAACCAUCUGAAAAUAAACUCAGGGGUCAUUAGUAGUUUAACCAUUUGGGGCCUGAAAUUGUGAGUUACUUCCUGGUAAGUUUCCUGUACCAGCAAACUUACUAAGGCAUUAGUCAAAAUACUUCUGUCUUUUUUUUCCCCCCUAGGGCAUACCCAUGGCAUAUGGAGGUUCCCAGGCUAGGGGUCUAAUCGGAGCUGUAGCUGCUGGCUUACACCACAGCCACAGCAACUCGGGAUUCGAGCCGUGUCUGCGACCUACACCACAGCUCACAAUCUGGAGUUGCUGUGGCUCUGGCGUAGGCCGGCAGCAACAGCUCCUAUUAGACCCCCUAGCCUGGUAACCCCCAUAUGCUGCAAGUAUGGCCCUAAAAAGACAAAAAGACCAAAAAAAAAAAAAAAAGAAGGAAAGAAAAUAUGACUAAUAGCUAAGAUAUUUUGAGCACUCAUCCAUACCAACAUAUUAGAUACAUAGUUUGUAUAUUCAUUUCAUUUACUCAUUUAACAAAACUAUGUGCCAUACUCUUUACAUAUACCACUGUUUUUCAUCCUCACAGAAAUCCCAUAAAGUAGUAAUUAAUAUCAUUUUAUGGUCAAUGAAAGGAAGGCUCAGAGAGGUGAAAAAAUCUGCCCAAGAUCAACUAACCAGCAAGCUAGAGAAGGGACAUAAAGCCAUGUCAAAUGAUUCCAAAGUCUAUGAUCCAAAUAUCCAUGCAAUGCUGUUUAUUUGUGGAGAUUUAAGGAAUCUGGCAGUUAGAAUUCAAUUGUUAACAGUGCAUACUCUUAGGAUAGAUGAUGAUGGUAACAGGUAGGAUAAACUGCCUAGGCUGGAGACUGGAGAGAUGAACUGCAAUGAUGAGAAAAAAUUAGGGAAGAUGCUGCAUAGGCACUGACAAGAUGGAGAGGUUACUGCUUGCUAUGUGUGAUAAUAGAUAAUAACCCUGGGCUUGUGGAAUAUGACUCACAGCUCAUUCUGGUACAAAGUUCCAAACCAGAUGUAAUUUCGCUUUUCUCCAAACACAAAUCAGAACGGUGAUUAACUUGAGAUACAGGCCUGCUCUCAUGUGGACCUGAAGCUCUGAGACAGUAUCAGAUGCUCCAGGUCUAGCUUUGGGCCUCAUCAAGCCAAAGGUCCCAGGUGUGUAUCACCAGAAUGUCUCCUGGCUGCCUAUUCUGAAUCUGGCUAAUACCUGGCCAGACUAAAAAUGUAUCCUCCACAGACAGUGCUUGUUCAAAGAUCAGUAGAGGGUUAUACAUAUUGGCUCACAUUCUGAAUGGCCUGUAGCUGCUCCUUAGGAGACAGCAUCAGAAAUGGAGCUGUCAAUCAUGGAGGAACCUUCUAGAGUAGAAGAUGCCAGCCUGUGAAGUGAGACCUGCCUGGGGGAGUGGUAGUUAGGAUGUCUGUCAGUGUGUGAUGCACCAAUCUAAGAGUUGCUAAUAAUGUGGAUUCCCUUCAAACUAUGGUUCAUGCUUCCUUGGGAAGGUUAUGGUAUGUAACAACUUCAAUAAAAGGACAAAUGUAACAACAAUAACAACAAAAGCAGCAACAGCUAACUGUUAUUAAACAGUUAUGAUGGGCAAGGAACUCUUUUUAAGUGCUUUACAUCUAUUAACUGGUAUCAUAAAGAUACAUAUAUAGAGAUGUAUAGAGAAUAUAUAAGCAUAGACAUCAGCUUAUCAAAUUCACAUUAAUCUUCAUAUAUAGCCUAUGUCCAAAUAAUCCAGUUAUCAGACAGGAUCCCGGAAACCUGAACACUGGCAUUCUCGGGUUCCAGGUUGUAGGAAAUUUGUGCCUGUAAACAUGUGACAAAACAUAGUAUAGAAUUGUAACAAAACUUUUAGAAUUUUCUAACAUUGGACUGGGCAGGAAUCAGUUCAAUUUAGAGAAGGCAUUCCAUGUUUAGAAUUAGAGAACUUAAAACCCAAGAUCAUCUUUUAACCCAAAGUAAAUUUUGAGGGAAAAUUGUUGGUUGAGAAGUCGCAUCAUCAAUUCACGCUGGAAGGAUACUUGGGAGGAUUCAAAAAUUAAGAAAAUCAGUUCUAAUAAAUGGAUGUUUGUGAAAAGGAAAUAAAUUGCUCCAAUUAUCUGACAAGCAUGAAGAGUACUGGCAGCUAAAUGAAAUGUUUUAUUGGCCUCUCACCUACUCAACAACUAAUAUUUCUUCUUGUACUUCAUGUCACCCACUUCCAAAGGAGUCAUCUAAAAAUACUGUUUGAUUCAUAUCCACGUAGGAAACAUGGCUCUUGGAUUCAGACAUCAAGGCUCUAAUGUUCUAGGACACAGCUCAGGAGAAAAGGAGACAGUGCUUCCCUGUUGCAUUGGCAAGGUUUCUUUGCAAUCCCAGUCAAAAUUAAAUCAUGCCAAUGGCAGUCUUCUAAUUUCUCUAUCAAUAGAACAUAUUUUAUAGUCUUACUCU
rnacentral:lncRNA from 1 species